GGUCUGGGAGGAGGUGGAGGGGAGAGAAGGGAACCCCACUCGCUGAAUGACAGCCCCGAGACGCCCGGUCAAGGUGGGCACGAGCGGCGCGCGAGGAAGGAGCCGCCAGGAGGCCACGCGGGAGGAGGUGGCGCCGAGCUGCAGGCACCGCGCCCCCUCCUCACCCCGGGCGGGGCCGCAGGAGCCGCCAACGGCACCAUCGGAGCAACCACGUCCGCUCUCCGCGCAACUUUGAUGAAGGCCGGGCCGGGAGCAGCCGCCUCUGCGCGAGGGACAGGCGGCCUUCGGGUCUGGCCGGUGUCAGCCCUCAGGCCGCAUUUACCGACUGAAAGAACACAGAGUCUGAUGUAGGAGGGACUGAACGGGCUGCCCUACACUGUCCGGAGGACGCUCAGCGCCAGCCUCAGCCGGGGUGCAUCCCCGGAAUGCUGCAUCCCCGGAAUGCUGCAUCCCCGGAAUGCUGCUUCACCGGAGGGGCUCACCCCAUACCGAGCGCGCAUCUGCAGGGGCAUCUGCAGGAGCUUCCCGCAGGAGCAGGCUCGGAGUGCAGCCUCAUCGCUCGGAGCCAGCCGCGCCAGCUGGCCCCACUGCUGCCUGUCCCCCAGCUCUGAGUCCACCUGGGACCCUGCCGCAGGGUGGAAGCAGCCCGCCAGCCUUUCCAGAAUAUUUAGAGUCAAUGCCACAAUCAGUUUGGUUAAAUGAAAAAUGCAGCGUCUCUGCCUAUGGCCUUAAUGUUCUUUUAAUUCACCAGGACCAGGAGUGUCUGGGCUACAAACCUAAUCAGGAGAUCAGCCUCCCUCCCGCUUAUUCCCCUGGGCUUCAGCUGGAGCAGGAAAGGAUGGAAGUCACCCACCCUCCACCCCCAGCCAAUUAUCUGACCCUUUGUUUUUCAAAGGUUGGUCCUGGGAAAAAGGAUGAACGCUGCGUAGCCUUAGACGCCGGCCCCCACCUGCAUGCACUCCUGCAGGGGCCAUCCAGAGGACUGCCCCCCCCAUACCAGCCCCCGCACUUUGCAUCCAUGACGGCAGGAAGGUUGCCCAAUUCCAGGAGUUCUCUGGGGAGAAAGAGCCUGUAACUCCACCGGCCACAGGGUUUCAGCACAUUCCACUGAACAGAGCUGCCCGGAGGUUUCACUUCUCUGGUUUUCCGUAGUAGGAGAGCACAGAGCAGGGAAAUGCAGCCUCUUCCCCCAUCACACCUCUCCCCAGGACAGACCCAGCUUCCCUGCGCCUCCCCAGUCAGUGGCCUGUCUUCAGUAAAUAAUCCCAUUCUAGGACCCCCUCUCCCAGGGGCCGGUAGCACUUGCACUUCCUAGCACACGGAUACUUUCCCCCUGGGUUCUGGGGGAGCCUUUGUCUUCCCAAAGCUUUUCAAAGCUCUGCUUUUUGUCAGAGCAAAUAGAAAAGAGCCGGAGACAGGCUAGCCAACCGCAGGCACAGGCCAGGCCAGCUCCCUGUUUCCUGCUUUCUGUUCCCACACAGCCGAACACUCACAGGCCCUAAAGCUGUGGUUCCCAUCCUCCCUCCCCUCCACGGGUCCCUAGGACUCUUCUGGAGCAGUUCCUAUUGUUUCUGACAACUAAGCAAACAAGGAUUAUACUCUCCACUGAAGCACACCUGCUUUACUGACGGGCAUUGAGCAAACAGUUGUAUAAAUUUACUUAUGUGCAAUUCCUGUCACUAAAGGCCUUGGUUUUCACCUGCUAAUCUGAGUUUGGACGUACCAACCUCAAGUGUAUUUAAAAUCUUACUUAAAUUACCAUAUUUCAUACUAAAAUCCACUUAACCUUUAGAUAUCACAUAGAGAUGUUCUUAAUACAGAAGACAUUAACUCAUCAGAUGGGGGGGAAAGAAAACCAUGAACAAAAUCACACAUCAUAUAAUCCAAAGCAGUGGUGACCCCAGCAUGAUUCUAUCCCAGCAUGAAUGAUCUCCUCCAACAAAUACCCUACCUGCAACUGUGGGCCUUUGAAA